rnacentral:rRNA from 1 species
GGUCAAGCGAAUAAGCGCACACGGUGGAUGCCUUGGCGGUCAGAGGCGAUGAAGGACGUGGCAGCCUGCGAAAAGUAUCGGGGAGCUGGCAACAAGCUUUGAUCCGGUAAUGUCCGAAUGGGGAAACCCACCCGCUUGCGGGUAUCCUGCAGUGAAUACAUAGCUGCUGGAAGCGAACCUGGUGAACUGAAAUAUCUAAGUAACCAGAGGAAAAGAAAUCAACCGAGAUUCCGUAAGUAGCGACGAGCGAACGCGGACUAGCCCUUAAGCUGAUUUGGUUCUAGGAAAACGCUCUGGAAAGAGCGGCCAUAGAAGGUGAUAGCCCUGUAUCUGAAAGGGCCAUUUCAGUGAAGACGAGUAGGGCGGGGCACGUGAAACCCUGUCUGAACAUGGGGGGACCAUCCUCCAAGGCUAAAUACUACUGACCGACCGAUAGUGAACCAGUACCGUGAGGGAAAGGCGAAAAGAACCCCGGAGAGGGGAGUGAAAUAGAACCUGAAACCGUGUGCGUACAAGCAGUAGGAGCUCCGCAAGGAGUGACUGCGUACCUUUUGUAUAAUGGGUCAGCGACUUACUGUUCGUGGCAAGCUUAACCGUAUAGGGGAGGCGAAGGGAAACCGAGUCUGAUAAGGGCGCAUAGUCGCGGGCAGUAGACCCGAAACCGGGUGAUCUAGUCAUGCCCAGGGUGAAGGUGCGGUAACACGCACUGGAGGCCCGAACCCACUCCCGUUGCAAAGGUAGGGGAUGAGGUGUGAUUAGGAGUGAAAAGCUAAUCGAACCCGGAGAUAGCUGGUUCUCCUCGAAAGCUAUUUAGGUAGCGCCUCAUAUGUAUCCUCUCGGGGGUAGAGCACUGUUAUGGCUAGGGGGUCAUCGCGACUUACCAAACCAUUGCAAACUCCGAAUACCGAGACGGACUGUAUGGGAGACACACGGCGGGUGCUAACGUCCGUCGUGAAAAGGGAAACAACCCAGACCCACAGCUAAGGUCCCAAAUUCACUGCUAAGUGGAAAACCAUGUGGAAAGGCACAGACAGCCAGGAGGUUGGCUUAGAAGCAGCCACCCUUUAAAGAAAGCGUAAUAGCUCACUGGUCGAGUCGGUCUGCGGGGAAGAUUUAACGGGGCUAAGCAGUGAACCGAAGCUUGGGGUGCAUAACUUUGUUAUGCGCGGUAGAGGAGCGUUCCGUAAGCCGUUGAAGGUGGAUUGAGAAGUCUGCUGGAGGUAUCGGAAGUGCGAAUGCUGACAUGAGUAACGAUAAUGCGGGUGAAAAACCCGCACGCCGAAAGCCCAAGGUUUCCUUGCGCAACGUUAAUCGGCGCAGGGUGAGUCGGCCCCUAAGGCGAGGACGAAAGUCGUAGUCGAUGGGAAGCAGGUUAAUAUUCCUGCACCUCGCGUAAGUGCGAUGGAGGGACGGAGAAGGUUAGGUGUACCAGGCGUUGGUUGUCCUGGGGAAAGGCGGUAGGUUUGGAUCUUUGGCAAAUCCGGGAUCCUUCAAGACCGAGCACCGAGACGAGCCUUUAAGGCGAAGUCACUGAUACCACGCUUCCAGGAAAAGCUCCUAAGCUUCAGCUUACGCAGACCGUACCGUAAACCGACACAGGUGGGUAGGAUGAGAAUUCUCAGGCGCUUGAGAGAACUCGGGUGAAGGAACUAGGCAACAUGGCACCGUAACUUCGGGAGAAGGUGCACCCUUUUUGGUGGCUCGUGCGAGCUAUAGCUGAAGAGGGUCGCAGUAACCAGGCCGCUGCGACUGUUUAUCAAAAACACAGCACUCUGCAAACACGAAAGUGGACGUAUAGGGUGUGACGCCUGCCCGGUGCUGGAAGGUUAAUUGAUGGGGUCAGCCGCAAGGCGAAGCUCUUGAUCGAAGCCCCAGUAAACGGCGGCCGUAACUAUAACGGUCCUAAGGUAGCGAAAUUCCUUGUCGGGUAAGUUCCGACCUGCACGAAUGGCGUAACGACAGCGGCGCUGUCUCCACCCGAGACUCAGUGAAAUUGAAAUCGCUGUGAAGAUGCAGCGUUCCCGUGGCAAGACGGAAAGACCCCGUGAACCUUUACUAUAGCUUUACACUGAACGUUGAGUUCGUCUGUGUAGGAUAGGUGGGAGGCUAUGAAACUGUGGCGCUAGCUGCAGUGGAGCCAUCCUUGAAAUACCACCCUGUCGUGCUUGACGUUCUAACCUGGGCCCAUUAUCUGGGUCGGGGACCGUGUAUGGUGGGUAGUUUGACUGGGGCGGUCUCCUCCUAAAGAGUAACGGAGGAGCUCGAAGGUACGCUCAGCGCGGUCGGACAUCGCGCACUGUGUGCAAAGGCAUAAGCGUGCUUGACUGCAAGAUCGACGGAUCAAGCAGGUAGGAAACUAGGACUUAGUGAUCCGGUGGUUCUGUAUGGAAGGGCCAUCGCUCAACGGAUAAAAGGUACUCCGGGGAUAACAGGCUGAUACCGCCCAAGAGUUCAUAUCGACGGCGGUGUUUGGCACCUCGAUGUCGGCUCAUCACAUCCUGGGGCUGUAGUCGGUCCCAAGGGUAUGGCUGUUCGCCAUUUAAAGUGGUACGCGAGCUGGGUUCAGAACGUCGUGAGACAGUUCGGUCCCUAUCUGCCAUGGGCGUUGGAGAUUUGAGAGGGGCUGCUCCUAGUACGAGAGGACCGGAGUGGACGAACCUCUGGUGUUCCGGUUGUCACGCCAGUGGCAUUGCCGGGUAGCUAUGUUCGGAAGCGAUAACCGCUGAAAGCAUCUAAGCGGGAAGCGCGCCUCAAGAUGAGAUCUCCCGGGGCACAAGCCCCCUGAAGGAACCAUGUAGACUACGUGGUUGAUAGGUCAGGUGUGUAAGUACAGCAAUGUAUUGAGCUAACUGAUACUAAUGAUCCGAGAGGCUUGACCAU